AAUCAACGCUGGCGGCGUGCCUAACACAUGCAAGUCGAACGCGAAAGUGGAGCAAUCCAUGAGUAGAGUGGCAAACGGGUGAGUAACACGUGGGUGACCUGCCUUAGAGUGGGGGAUAACGUCCCGAAAGGGACGCUAAUACCGCAUAACAUGCUGCCUUUUAAGAGGCGGACAUCAAAGCCGGGGACCGCAAGGCCUGGCGCUUAAAGAGGGGCCCGCGCCUGAUUAGCUAGUUGGUGGGGUAAUGGCUCACCAAGGCAACGAUCAGUAUCCGGCCUGAGAGGGCGGACGGACACACUGGGACUGAGACACGGCCCAGACUCCUACGGGAGGCAGCAGUGGGGAAUAUUGGACAAUGGGCGCAAGCCUGAUCCAGCAAUGCCGCGUGUGUGAAGAAGGCCUGCGGGUUGUAAAGCACUUUUAUAUGGGACGAAAAAGGCUUUUCUAAGUCGUCUGACGGUACCAUAUGAAUAAGCACCGGCUAACUCCGUGCCAGCA
rnacentral:rRNA from 1 species